rnacentral:rRNA from 1 species
GUGUCAGCCGCCGCGGUAAUACGAAGGGUGCGAGCGUUAUUCGGAUUUAUUGGGCGUAAAGGGUGCGUAGGCGGUAUGUUAAGUCAACUGUUAAAUUUCUCGGCCUAACCGAGAAUCAGCAGUAGAUACUGGCAUUCUAGAGGAUGGAAGAGAGAAGUGGAAUUCUCGGAGUAGCGGUAAAAUGCGUAGAUCUCGAGAGGAACACCGAUGGCGAAGGCAGCUUCUUGGUCCAUUUCUGACGCUGAUGCACGAAAGCGUGGGGAGCAAACAGGAUUAGAUACCCUGGUAGUCCACGCCGUAAACGAUGAUCACUAGACGUUAAUUUCGCUUAGCGAGAUUAGUGUCGAAGCUAACGCGUUAAGUGAUCCGCCUGGGGAGUACGGUCGCAAGAUUAAA